rnacentral:rRNA from 1 species
GACGAACGCUGGCGGCGUGCUUAACACAUGCAAGUCGAGCGGUAAGGCCCUUUCUGUGGUACACGAGCGGCGAACGGGUGAGUAACACGUGAGCAACCUACCCUUCCCUUUGGGUUAACUGCCUUAAACGGAGGCUAAUACCGGCCAUGACUUCCUCCCGCCUGCGGGGUGGUGGAUAGACUUCGGGGGGUGGGGGAUGGGCUCGCGGGCUAUCUGCUUGUGGGGGGGGGGAUGGCCUACAAGGGCUUGGUCGGGUAUCCGGCCUGGGAGGGGGACGGGCAACACGGGGACGGAGACACGGCCCAGACUCUUACGGGGGGAAACGGUGGGAAAAAUUGGACAAUGGGCGAAGGCCUGAUCCAGCACCGCCGCGUGGGGGAGGACGGCCUUCGGGUUGAAAACCUCUUUCGCCUGCAACGAAGCGAGGGGGACGGUAGGAGGUAAAGAAGCACCGGCAACCUACGU